rnacentral:rRNA from 1 species
UGGGGAAUAUUGGACAAUGGCGCAAGCCUGAUCCAGCAACGCCGCGUGGAGGAUGAAGGUCUUCGGAUCGUAAACUCCUGUCAGGCGGGACGAAGGGACGUCGGCAAAUAGUCGACGUCUUUGACGGUACCGCCAGAGGAAGCCCCGGCUAACUCCGUGCCAGCAGCCGCGGUAAUACGGAGGGGGCGAGCGUUAUUCGGAAUUAUUGGGCGUAAAGGGCGCGUAGGCGGGCUGGGGGUAAGUCAAAGGUGAAAUCCCUCGGCUCAACUGAGGAACUGCCUUUGAAACUGUCCAGCUUGAGGCCGGAGGGGUGGCGGAAUUCCCAGUGUAGCGGUGAAAUGCGUAGAUAUUGGGAGGAACACCAGUGGCGAAGGCGGCCACCUGGACCGGUUCUGACGCUGAUGCGCGAAAGCGUGGGUAGCAAACAGGAUUAGAUACCCUGGUAGUCCACGCUGUAAACGAUGAGUGCUCGGUGUCGCGGGUAUCGACCCCUGCGGUGCCUUAGCUAACGCGUUAAGCACUCCGCCU